rnacentral:rRNA from 1 species
CCUACGGGUGGCAGCAGUGAGGAAUAUUGGUCAAUGGACGCAAGUCUGAACCAGCCAAGCCGCGUGAGGGAAGACGGUUCUAUGAGUUGUAAACCUCUUUUGUACGGGGGUAAACGCAGGGACGCGUCUCUGUCUGAAUGUAUCGUACGAAUAAGGAUCGGCUAACUCCGUGCCAGCAGCCGCGGUAAUACGGAGGAUUCAAGCGUUAUCCGGAUUUAUUGGGUUUAAAGGGUGCGUAGGCGGUCGGAUAAGUUAGCGGUGAAAUCCCGGGGCUCAACUACGGAAUUGCCUUUGAUACUGGCAGGCUAGAGAGUAGUUGAGGUAGGCGGAAUGUGUGGUGUAGCGGUGAAAUGCUUAGAGAU